ACCGCGAGCUUCCUGGUGAGCGUGUCACCCAACACUCUCAAACUCAUACUCAGACCGAGGCCUGGUGGGGAGUUCCCCCUUGACUUCACCAAUGGCUGCUUUGCUCCGUGGACACACGAUAUCACCCAAGCUCACUGGCUCUCCUCAACGUUUCCGCUUCCUGUGCCCGGAAGUCAAACCCACGACGCCGGUAUCGUAGUGCUGUUUGUUCCACUGCAGCCUGGUGACAGCAUCAUCACCGUCAUUCAGGAGGACGGGCACAUUUUCCUGAGCGCUAACCACCAUACCGCUUACGCUCGUGGCAACUUACCAACCUUGACAGAGGAGCCGUUGUACAUAGGAGCAGGAGCUGACCCGUCUACCCACAGAAUCCUG